CAAACCGUCGGACCCGCAGGUUACGCGGUCGCAACUAAAUUCAGAUUUUUCACCCCGAGGAUUCAAUUUUCUUCCGCGUGUGAUGUACGUACAAAACGACUCGUUUCUCAUCGACACGGUGAGGAGAGGAGAAGAUGGAAGAGAUGGAGGCGAGGAUAUUUGAGGGAGGGAAGCAGAAAAUAUAAAAUUCUGGAUUCCCUGAGAAAAAAUUCGUUCUCCAGUUUUUCAUCCGUUCAAAUUUUUUAUUCCUUGGCGUACGUUUCGACUGUAAGCACAUCGCAUCCUGUCCCCACGGCAACCGAUGUGAAGUAAAAUGCUGCUAUUGCUUCAAGAGGAGGUGGUAUACGUGGGUGGGUAUGCCUGCACCGGGUCGUACGUGCGUACGCUAAUAACGGAAGUUUCGAGGUCAUUUCUGAAAGGAAAGAGUAGAAAAAAAAAAGGAGUAGAAGUGGAAGGAAAAAAAUGAAACAUUUAAAUAAAUAAAUGUAGGAGCGAAAAAGCAAAAUUAUUUCACGAAACGUAUAUCACG
rnacentral:misc_RNA from 1 species